rnacentral:lncRNA from 1 species
UUGGACUUAGUCUUGAUCACGAAAGUGCUUGAUCUUGGCGUCAAGGGUCUUCACGACUUAGUCUUGAUCACGAACACUUGAUCUUCACUUCAAGGGUCUUCACGACUUAGUCUUGAUCACGAACGUACUUGAUCUUCUCAUUAAGGGUCUUCAUGACUUAGUCUUGAUCACGAACACUUGAUCUUCGCUUCAAGGGUCUUCACGACUUAGUCUUGAUCACGAACACUUGAUCUUUGCUUCAAGGGUCUUCAUGACUUAAUCUUGAUCACGAACACAAUAUCUUGAUCACGAACUUCGCUUGAUAUCUUGAUCACGAACUUCGUUGCCGCUUUGAUCACAAACUUCGUUGUUGCUUGAUCUUCACUUCAGAAAUCUUCUAUUCUUCUUGAUCUCUGAAAUACUCUCAAUCUUCAAAUGCUCCGAAUCUUCGAAUGCCUCUGAAU